GAGUAAAGAUUUCGGUCGCUUUGGGAGGAGCUCGCUUACUAUCAGCUUGUUGGUAGGGUAAUGGCCUACCAAGGCUAUGACGGUUAGGGGGUGUGAGAGCAUGACCCCCAGCAUUGGCACUGAAACACUGGCCAAACACCUACGGGUGGCUGCAGUCGAGAAUCUUCCACAAUGGGGGAAACCCUGAUGGAGCGAUGCUGCGUGCGGGAUGAAGGCCUUCGGGUUGUAAACCGCUUUUGUAGGGGACGAAAUUUUUGACGGUACCCUUUCGAAUAAGAGGUUGCUAACUCUGUGCCAGCAGCAGCGGUAAUACAGAGACCUCAAGCGUUAUCCGGAUUUACUGGGCGUAAAGCGUCUGUAGGGGGUUUAUUAAGUUCCAAGUAAAAUUUCAAGGCUCAACUUUGAAUUCGCUUGGAAAACUAAUAAACUGGAGUCUAGCAGAGGUGCAUGGAACUUGUGGUGUAGGAGUGAAAUCCGUUGAUAUCACAAGGAACACCAAAGGCGAAGGCAUUGCACUGGGCUAGCACUGACCCUGAGAGACGAAAGCGUGGGGAGCAAAACGGAUUAGAUACCCGUGUAGUCCACGCCCUAAACGAUGAAUGCUAAAUGUUCGGGGAUUCGACCCCCUGGGUGUUACAGCUAACGCGUUAAGCAUUCCGCCUGGGAAGUACGGCCGCAAGGCUAAAACUCAAAGGAAUAGACGGGGAUCCGCACAAGCGGUGGAGCGUCUGGUUUAAUUCGACAGUAAGCGUGGUACCUCACCAGGGUUUGACAUCC
rnacentral:rRNA from 1 species